AAACGUAGGGUUCGAGCGUUAUCCGGAAUUACUGGGCGUAAAGGGCGUGUAGGCGGACAAGGAAGUCGGACGUAAAAGCUCCCGGCCCAACUGGGAGAGGCCGUUCGAAACUCCUUGACUCGAGGCUAGUAGAGGCAAGUGGAAUUCCCGGUGUAGUGGUGAAAUGCGUAGAUAUCGGGAGGAAGACCAGAGGCGAAGGCGGCUUGCUGGGCUAGACCUGACGCUGAGACGCGAAAGCCAGGGGAGAGAACGGGAUUAGAAACCCCGGUAUUCCUGGCAGUAAACGAUGUCAACUAGGUGCGUGGGGUACCCAAUCCCUGCGUGCUGCCGCCAACGCAGUAAGUUGACCGCCUGGGGAGUACGGCCGCAAGGCUAAA
rnacentral:rRNA from 1 species